rnacentral:rRNA from 1 species
GACAGAGGGUGCAAACGUUGUUCGGAAUUACUGGGCGUAAAGCGCGUGUAGGCGGCUAUGCAAGUCGGAUGUGAAAGCCCUCGGCUCAACCGGGGAAGUGCACCCGAAACUGCAAAGCUAGAGUCUCGGAGAGGAUCGUGGAAUUCUCGGUGUAGAGGUGAAAUUCGUAGAUAUCGAGAGGAACACCGGUGGCGAAGGCGGCGACCUGGGUCGAGACUGACGCUGAGGCGCGAAAGCGUGGGGAGCAAACAGG